rnacentral:rRNA from 1 species
AUGAACGCUAGCUACAGGCUUAACACAUGCAAGUCGAGGGGCAUCAGGAAGAAAGCUUGCUUUCUUUGCUGGCGACCGGCGCACGGGUGAGUAACACGUAUCCAACCUGCCCUUUACUCGGGGAUAGCCUUUCGAAAGAAAGAUUAAUACCCGAUGGCAUAAUGAUUCCGCAUGGUUUCAUUAUUAAAGGAUUCCGGUAAAGGAUGGGGAUGCGUUCCAUUAGGUUGUUGGUGAGGUAACGGCUCACCAAGCCUUCGAUGGAUAGGGGUUCUGAGAGGAAGGUCCCCCACAUUGGAACUGAGACACGGUCCAAACUCCUACGGGAGGCAGCAGUGAGGAAUAUUGGUCAAUGGACGCAAGUCUGAACCAGCCAUGCCGCGUGCAGGAUGACGGCUCUAUGAGUUGUAAACUGCUUUUGUACGAGGGUAAACGCAGAUACGUGUAUCUGUCUGAAAGUAUCGUACGAAUAAGGAUCGGCUAACUCCGUGCCAGCAGCCGCGGUAAUACGGAGGAUCCGAGCGUUAUCCGGAUUUAUUGGGUUUAAAGGGAGCGUAGGUGGACUGGUAAGUCAGUUGUGAAAGUUUGCGGCUCAACCGUAAAAUUGCAGUUGAUACUGUCAGUCUUGAGUACAGUAGAGGUGGGCGGAAUUCGUGGUGUAGCGGUGAAAUGCUUAGAUAUCACGAAGAACUCCGAUUGCGAAGGCAGCUCACUGGACUGCAACUGACACUGAUGCUCGAAAGUGUGGGUAUCAAACAGGAUUAGAUACCCUGGUAGUCCACACAGUAAACGAUGAAUACUCGCUGUUUGCGAUAUACAGUAAGCGGCCAAGCGAAAGCAUUAAGUAUUCCACCUGGGGAGUACGCCGGCAACGGUGAAACUCAAAGGAAUUGACGGGGGCCCGCACAAGCGGAGGAACAUGUGGUUUAAUUCGAUGAUACGCGAGGAACCUUACCCGGGCUUAAAUUGCAGUGGAAUGAUGUGGAAACAUGUCAGUGAGCAAUCACCGCUGUGAAGGUGCUGCAUGGUUGUCGUCAGCUCGUGCCGUGAGGUGUCGGCUUAAGUGCCAUAACGAGCGCAACCCUUAUCUUCAGUUACUAACAGGUCAUGCUGAGGACUCUGGAGAGACUGCCGUCGUAAGAUGUGAGGAAGGUGGGGAUGACGUCAAAUCAGCACGGCCCUUACGUCCGGGGCUACACACGUGUUACAAUGGGGGGUGCAGAAGGCAGCUAGCGGGUGACCGUAUGCUAAUCCCAAAAGCCUCUCUCAGUUCGGAUCGAAGUCUGCAACCCGACUUCGUGAAGCUGGAUUCGCUAGUAAUCGCGCAUCAGCCACGGCGCGGUGAAUACGUUCCCGGGCCUUGUACACACCGCCCGUCAAGCCAUGGGAGCCGGGGGUACCUGAAGUACGUAACCGCAAGGAUCGUCCUAGGGUAAAACUGGUGACUGGGGCU